rnacentral:rRNA from 1 species
CCUACGGGGGGCAGCAGUGGGGAAUAUUGCACAAUGGGCGCAAGCCUGAUGCAGCCAUGCCGCGUGUGUGAAGAAGGCCUUCGGGUUGUAAAGCACUUUCAGCGGGGAGGAAGGCGGUGAGGUUAAUAACCUCAUCGAUUGACGUUACCCGCAGAAGAAGCACCGGCUAACUCCGUGCCAGCAGCCGCGGUAAUACGGAGGGUGCAAGCGUUAAUCGGAAUUACUGGGCGUAAAGCGCACGCAGGCGGUCUGUCAAGUCGGAUGUGAAAUCCCCGGGCUCAACCUGGGAACUGCAUUCGAAACUGGCAGGCUAGAGUCUUGUAGAGGGGGGUAGAAUUCCAGGUGUAGCGGUGAAAUGCGUAGAGAUCUGGAGGAAUACCGGUGGCGAAGGCGGCCCCCUGGACAAAGACUGACGCUCAAGUGCGAAAGCGUGGGGAGCAAACAGGAUUAGAUACCCGUGUAGUC